UUGUUCUAAUGUUCUAAUUUUGCUCGCCUUUGCAGACAUCGCAAAGAUGGUGACCAAGAGCGAGGUCCUCUACGCCCGCUACCAGAAGAGGGCAGCCGAGCUCUCGGGCGAGCCCGCCGAGCCGAGGAAGAAGCAAAAGGUCUCGGCGACCUCGACUCCCUCGGCAGCAGUGGUGGCCGAGGCGGGUCCUUCCCGCCCUGCGCAUCCC
rnacentral:lncRNA from 1 species